ACCGGAUGCCGAUCUCGAAAACCUGUCCCAGUUCGGACUGGAGUCUGCAACCCGACUCCACGAAGUUGGAUUCGCUAGUAAUCGCGCAUCAGCCAUGGCGCGGUGAACGCGUUCCCGGGCCUUGUACACACCGCCCGUCAAGCCAUGGGAGCCGGGGGCGCCUGAAGUCCGGGACCGCGAGGACCGGCCUAGGGCGAAACUGGUGACUGGGGCUAAGUCGUAACAAGGUAUC
rnacentral:rRNA from 1 species